rnacentral:rRNA from 1 species
UACGGGGGGGGCAAGCGUUGUUCGGAAUCACUGGGCGUAAAGGGCGCGUAGGCGGCCUGAUAAGUCGGGGGUGAAAGCCUGUGGCUCAACCACAGAAUUGCCUUCGAUACUGUUAGGCUUGAGACCGGAAGAGGUAAGUGGAACUGCGAGUGUAGAGGUGAAAUUCGUAGAUAUUCGCAAGAACACCAGUGGCGAAGGCGGCUUACUGGUCCGGAUCUGACGCUGAGGCGCGAAAGCGUGGGGAGCAAACAGG